AUUGAACGCUAGCGGGAUGCUUUACACAUGCAAGUCGAACGGCAGCGCGGACUUCGGUCUGGCGGCGCGUGGCGAACGGGUGAGUAAUGUAUCGGAACGUGCCCAGUAGCGGGGGAUAACUACGCUAAAGCGUAGCUAAUACCGCCUACGCCCUACGGGGGAAAGCAGGGGAUCGUAAGACCUUGCACUAUUGGAGCUGCCGAUAUCGGAUUAGCUCGUUGGUGAGGUAACGGCUCACCAAGGCGACUAUCCGUAGCUGGUGUGUGAGGACGACCAGCCACACUGGGAGUGAGACACGGCCCAGACUCCUACGAGAGGCAGCAGUGGGGAAUUUUGGACAAUGGGGGCAACCCUGAUCCAGCCAUCCCACGUGUGCGAGGAAGGCCUUCGGGUUGUAAAGCACUUUUGGCAGGAAAGAAACGUCGCGGGCUAAUACCCCGAGGAACUGACGGUACCUGCAGAAUAAGCACCGGCUAACUACGUG
rnacentral:rRNA from 1 species